CCCUUAGAUGUUCUGGGCUGCACGCGUGCUACACUGAUAUUGCCAAUAUGUCAUUCUUAUCCGAAAUGGAUUGGGUAAUCAAGUAAUGAAAUUUCAUGCUUGGAAUCGGUAAUUGCAAUUUUAUCGUGAACGAGGAAUUCCUAGUAAGCACUAGUCAUCAGCUAAUGUUGAUUAUGUCCCUGCCCUUUGUACACACCGCCCGUCGCUACUACCGAUUGAAUGGUUUAGUGAGAUCUUCGGAUUGGCGCCACUGCGGCUCAGCAAUGGGCUCGGUGGAUGCCGAAAAGUUGAUCAAACUUGAUCAUUUAGAGGAAGUAAAAGUCGUAACA
rnacentral:rRNA from 1 species